GUCAGAAUGGCAGAGUGGUCUAAGGCGCUAGAAUCAAGGUUAAUUAUUCUUCUCAAGGUAUGAUGAUUCUAGUCUGUAGAUGGAGGUGUGGGUUCAAAUUCCACUUCUGACA
rnacentral:tRNA from 1 species